rnacentral:rRNA from 1 species
AGAGUUUGAUCCUGGCUCAGGAUGAACGCUAGCUACAGGCUUAACACAUGCAAGUCGAGGGGCAGCAUGAACUUAGCUUGCUAAGUUUGAUGGCGACCGGCGCACGGGUGAGUAACACGUAUCCAACCUGCCGAUGACUCGGGGAUAGCCUUUCGAAAGAAAGAUUAAUACCCGAUGGCAUAGUUCUUCCGCAUGGUAGAACUAUUAAAGAAUUUCGGUCAUCGAUGGGGAUGCGUUCCAUUAGGUUGUUGGCGGGGUAACGGCCCACCAAGCCUUCGAUGGAUAGGGGGUUCUGAGAGGAAGGUCCCCCCANAUUGGAACUGAGACACGGUCCAAACUCCUACGGGAGGCA